CCUACGGGAGGCAGCAGUAAGGGAAUAUUGGUCAAUGGACGCAAGUCUGAACCAGCCAUGCCGCGUGAAGGAUUAAGGCCCUCUGGGUUGUAAACUUCUUUUAUAGGGGACGAAAAAAGGGCAUUCUUGCUCACUUGACGGUACCCUAGGAAUAAGCACCGGCUAACUCCGUGCCAGCAGCCGCGGUAAUACGGAGGGUGCAAGCGUUAUCCGGAUUUACUGGGUUUAAAGGGUGCGUAGGUGGGUUGGUAAGUCAGUGGUGAAAUCUUCGAGCUUAACUCGGAAACUGCCAUUGAUACUAUCAAUCUUGAAUCAUCUAGAGGUAAGCGGAAUAUGUCAUGUAGCGGUGAAAUGCUUAGAUAUGACAUAGAACACCAAUUGCGAAGGCAGCUUACUAUGGAUGUAUUGACACUGAGGCACGAAAGCGUUGGGGGAAUCAAACAGGAUUUAGAUACCCUGGUAGUCCACGCCCUUAAACGAUGGAUACUCGACUAUUUGUGAUAUACUAUAAGUGUNUGAGAGAAGANAUAAGUAUACCACCGUAGGAAGACGACCGACGAAGUAGUAACGUACAAGUAGUAGUUAGACGGCGUGAGACGUAGACCGACGGACGACGACGGAGGGAGGAGGG
rnacentral:rRNA from 1 species